UCGCCUUGGUGACUCUGGAUAACUUUGCGGAUCGCACGGUCUAGCACCGGCGACGGGAUCAUUCAAGUGUCUGCCCUAUCAACUUUCGUCGGUACGGUAUUUGCCUACCGAGGUUCUUACGGGUGACGGGGAAUCAGGGUUCGAUUCCGGAGAGGGAGCCUGAGAAACGGCUACCACAUCCAAGGAAGGCAGCAGGCGCGCAAAUUACCCAUUCCCGACGCGGGGAGGUAGUGACGAAAAAUAACAAUGCAGGACUCGUUCGAGGCCCUGUAAUUGGAAUGAGUACACUUUAAAAGCUUUAACGAGUAUCCAUUGGAGGGCAAGUCUGGUGCCAGCAGCCGCGGUAAUUCCAGCUCCAAAAGUAUAUAUUUAAGUUGUUGCGGUUAAAAAGCUCGUAGUUGGAUUUUGGGCGCAGGCGGCCGGUCCGUCGCAAGGCGUGUACUGGACGUCCUGGCCUUCCCUCCGGUUCUCCGCCGGUGCUCUUGACUGAGUGUCGGCGGCGGCCGGAACGUUUACUUUGAAAAAAUUAGAGUGUUCAAAGCAGGCUCUCGAGCCUGGAUAAUGGUGCAUGGAAUAAUGGAAUAGGACCUCGGUUCUAUUUUGUUGGUUUUCGGAGCGCGAGGUAAUGAUUAAGAGGGACAGACGGGGGCAUUCGUACUGUGCCGUUAGAGGUGAAAUUCUUGGAUCGGCGCAAGACGAACGAUUGCGAAAGCAUUUGCCAAGAAUGUUUUCUUUAAUCAAGAGCGAAAGUCAGAGGUUCGAAGACGAUCAGAUACCGUCCUAGUUCUGACUAUAAACGAUGCCAACUAGCGAUCGGGGGGCGUUACAUUGACGACCCCUCCGGCAGCUUACGGGAAACCAAAGUCUUUGGGUUCCGGGGGAAGUAUGGUUGCAAAGCUGAAACUUAAAGGAAUUGACGGAAGGGCACCACCAGGAGUGGAGCCUGCGGCUUAAUUUGACUCAACACGGGAAAUCUCACCCGGCCCGGACACAGUGAGGAUUGACAGAUUGAGAGCUCUUUCUUGAUUCUGUGGGUGGUGGUGCAUGGCCGUUCUUAGUUGGUGGAGCGAUUUG
rnacentral:ncRNA from 1 species